AUUGAACGCUUGCGGCAUGCUUUACACAUGCAAGUCGAACGGUAACAGGGAGCUUGCUCCGCUGACGAGUGGCGAACGGGUGAGUAAUGCGUCGGAACGUGCCGAGUAGUGGGGGAUAACGCAGCGAAAGUUGUGCUAAUACCGCAUACGUACUGAGGUAGAAAGUGGGGGACCUUCGGGCCUCACGCUAUUCGAGCGGCCGACGUCUGAUUAGCUAGUAGGUGAGGUAAAGGCUCACCUAGGCGACGAUCAGUAGCGGGUCUGAGAGGAUGAUCCGCCACACCGGGACUGGGACACGGCCCAGACUCCUACGGGGGGCAGCAGUGGGGAAUUUUGGACAAUGGGCGAAAGCCUGAUCCAGCCAUGCCGCGUGUCUGAAGAAGGCCUUCGGGUUGUAAAGGACUUUUGUCGGGGAGGAAAUCCCCAGCGCUAAUACCGCUGGGGGAUGACAGUACCUGAAGAAUAAGCACCGGCUAACUACGUGCCAGCCGCCGCAGUAAAAC
rnacentral:rRNA from 1 species